rnacentral:misc_RNA from 1 species
GAUGAAGAACGUAGCGAAAUGCGAUAAGUAAUGUGAAUUGCAGAAUUCAGUGAAUCAUCGAAUCCUUGAACGCACCUUGCACUCCUUGGUAUUCCGAGGAGUACGCCUGUUCGAGUGUUAUGAAGCUCUCAAAACGCAAUUGGCUUAAAACCUGAUUGUUGUUUUGGAUUUGAACUUUGCCGUGUUAUAACGGCUGGUUUUAAAAGUAUUAGCUGGUACUAGAACGAAUUGGUUCUACUCAACGUGAUAAUUAUCUGAUCGUUGAGGACAUUCCUUUCACGAGGAAUGGCCAUAGUAAAUUCAAUGGACUGCUUCUAAUCUGGCUUUAAUUCUUUAUUGGAUUAACCACUUUUCAAAUCUGACCUCGAAUCAGGUGGGACUACCCGCUGAACUUAAGCAUAUCAAUAAGCGGAGGA